rnacentral:rRNA from 1 species
UGAGGAAUAUUGGUCAAUGGGCGAGAGCCUGAACCAGCCAAGUCGCGUGAGGGAAGACGGUCCUACGGAUUGUAAACCUCUUUUGUCGGGGAGCAAUAAAGCGUACGCGUACGCAGAUGCGAGUACCCGAAGAAAAGCAUCGGCUAACUCCGUGCCAGCAGCCGCGGUAAUACGGAGGAUGCGAGCGUUAUCCGGAUUUAUUGGGUUUAAAGGGUGCACAGGCGGAAAGUGCAAGUCAGCGGUCAAACGACGGGGCUCAACCCCGUCUCGCCGUUGAAACUGUCUUUCUAGAGUGAGCGAGAAGUAUGCGGAAUGCGUGGUGUAGCGGUGAAAUGCAUAGAUAUCACGCAGAACUCCGAUUGCGAAGGCAGCAUACCGGCGCUCAACUGACGCUCAUGCACGAAAGCGUGGGUAUCGAACAGGAUUAGAUACC